rnacentral:rRNA from 1 species
UACGUAGGGUGCAAGCGUUAAUCGGAUUUACUGGGCGUAAAGCGUGCGCAGGCGGUUUUGUAAGUCUGUCGUGAAAUCCCCGGGCUUAACCUGGGAAUGGCGAUGGAGACUGCAAGGCUAGAGUUUGGCAGAGGGGGGUAGAAUUCCACGUGUAGCAGUGAAAUGCGUAGAGAUGUGGAGGAACACCGAUGGCGAAGGCAGCCCCCUGGGUCAAAACUGACGCUCAUGCACGAAAGCGUGGGGAGCAAACAGG